GACGGGCCGGCUGGCUUUGGCGAUGUGAACCCCGCCAGGUCAGAAAUGAAGCAACGGUAGCGACGAUUGAAGCGCAGCCGGCCCACCUGA
rnacentral:SRP_RNA from 1 species